rnacentral:rRNA from 1 species
AUUGAACGCUGGCGGCAUGCCUUACACAUGCAAGUCGAACGGCAGCACGGGAGCAAUCCUGGUGGCGAGUGGCGAACGGGUGAGUAAUAUAUCGGAACGUGCCCAGUCGUGGGGGAUAACGUAGCGAAAGCUACGCUAAUACCGCAUACGAUCUAUGGAUGAAAGCGGGGGAUCGCAAGACCUCGCGCGAUUGGAGCGGCCGAUACCAGAUUAGGUAGUUGGUGAGGUAUAGGCUCACCAAGCCGACGAUCUGUAGCUGGUCUGAGAGGACGACCAGCCACACUGGGACUGAGACACGGCCCAGACUCCUACGGGAGGCAGCAGUGGGGAAUUUUGGACAAUGGGCGCAAGCCUGAUCCAGCAAUGCCGCGUGCAGGAUGAAGGCCUUCGGGUUGUAAACUGCUUUUGUACGGAACGAAACGGCGAGCUCUAAUACAGUUUGCUAACGACGGUACCGUAAGAAUAAGCACCGGCUAACUACGUGCCAGCCGCCGCAGUAA